ensembl:lncRNA
GUAAUCGCUCUCCCCACGGAGCCCUUUGGAUCCUAGAGGAGACGGGGAUUAGCUCAUUUAGCACAUUUGAUUUGGUUAAGACGACCACCUGUUCGCCCGACGGAAUGCUAAUAUGUUACCGUGACAACAGCCAGGGAUAAAACUGUCUGGAGCGCGCGCUGGUCCUCCACCUUGGAAAUAUAUACCUACCAACCUGCCCGUGUGUUCUCCCCCCAGCUCGCCUUCUCCGGUCUCUUCGUUAGCAUGAUUCCACUAAGUGAAGCCAUCUUCCUCCUCUGAGGUCCUCCUCCUCCUCCUCGUCCUCUGCUGUCUUCCCUCUCCCUCCCCUGCCCGCCGCUGAACAACGCCCGCAUCGCCAUAUUCAACUUCUCAAAGUUUCUGGGCUCACAGACCCCAGUCGAACCCGGGCAGAUCCACCAGGCAACAACACACGGAACCAGCAGAACAGAUCAAUAAAUCAGGCCCAUGUGCUCAGCUCUCUGGAUGAAGACAUGCUCCAUUGGAAAUGAACGGAUGUUCUGAAAACGACCAAGCAGCCAAUGAAAUACGAGGGAGUAGUGGAACUUUAACCAGACCGCAGAGAAGUCCCUCAGAGGUGUCCUCCGGAGCCUGGCUGGCGGCUGCGUGGCAGACAGAACCGGCCCAGCAGGCUGAGCGGCGGCGUCGUGGUCCGGGGAGCGGAGGGGAAGGAGUCCGCCCCCCCCCUGCUGUGAAUGUACCAGGGGGGUACGGUGGGGGUCUCCUCUAACGCAGCCCAGG